rnacentral:rRNA from 1 species
CAGAUUCCUACGGGAGGCAGCAGUGGGGAAUAUUGCACAAUGGGCGGAAGCCUGAUGCAGCAACGCCGCGUGCGGGAUGACGGCCUUCGGGUUGUAAACCGCUUUCGCCUGUGACGAAGCGUGAGUGACGGUAAUGGGUAAAGAAGCACCGGCUAACUACGUGCCAGCAGCCGCGGUGAUACGUAGGGUGUGAGCGUUGUCCGGAUUUAUUGGGCGUAAAGGGCUCGUAGGUGGUUGAUCGCGUCGGAAGUGUAAUCUUGGGGCUUAACCCUGAGCGUGCUUUCGAUACGGGUUGACUUGAGGAAGGUAGGGGAGAAUGGAAUUCCUGGUGGAGCGGUGGAAUGCGCAGAUAUCAGGAGGAACACCAGUGGCGAAGGCGGUUCUCUGGGCCUUUCCUGACGCUGAGGAGCGAAAGC